rnacentral:lncRNA from 1 species
CUAAAUUGGAGGAAAUCCACAUGGAGGUCAGAAGGCUGGGAAGAAGUGAGCCUCCCCUUUCAUCCACCCAUACAGAGCAGCUGGAGACGAUGGAGGACUUUGAGAGAGAGGAGGAACGCCUCAAGGACAAGCAAGCCUUUGAGUCUCUGGCUCUUUACCAAUCGGUUGAUGGCAAAAUUCAACAUGAAGGGGAAGGGGAAAAAGCAGAAACUGCCUCUGGAGACGACGACAAACUUACGAAGCAAUUAAUGCUGCAGUCAUGAAAUGGGACAAAGAAGCUACAGAGGCUACAAUAAAUCAUCAUGCAGCAGAACAUCUCAAGCAUGCACCAGGGAGGAAGGGAGGUGGAGGGCAUACAGGGGUGGAAAAUAACUGAGGACUUUUGC